ACGAUAAACGCUGGCGGCGUGCCUAACACAUGCAAGUCGAACGCUCUUUUGUGGGAAACUACAAGAGGGAGUGGCGGACGGGUGAGUAACGCGUGGGUUAUCUACCUUGAGGUGAGGAAUACCGGCGAGAAAUCGCCGACAAGACCGCAUAGCCUGGAGUCUCUCCAGGAAAGUUCCGGCGACGGGACGCCCCAAGAUGAGCCUGCGUCCGAUUAGCUUUGUUGGUGGGGUAACGGCCUACCAAAGCGACGAUCGGUAGCUGGUCUGAGAGGACGAUCAGCCACACUGGGAUUGAGAACGGCCCAGACUCCUACGGGGGCAGCAGUGAGGAAUUUUCGUCAAUGGGGGAAACCCUGAACGAGCAACGCCGCGUGCAGGAAGAAGGUUUUCGGAUCGUAAACUGCUUUUCUCGGGGAAGAGAAUGGACGGUACCCGAGGAAGAAGCCCCGGCUAACUACGUGCCAGCAGCCGCGGUAAUACGUAGGGGGCAAGCGUUGUCCGGAUUUAUUGGGCGUAAAGCGCACGCAGGCGGUCUUCUACGUUUCCAGUGACAGGUGGUGGCUCAACUGCCACAGGUCUGGGAAAACGGGUUGACUUGAGGACGAGAGAGGGAUGCGGAAUUCCAGGUGGAGCGGUGAAAUGCGUAGAGAUCUGGAAGAACACCAAUGGCGAAGGCAGCAUCCUGGAUCGUUUCUGACGCUCCGGUGCGAAAGCCAGGGGAGCGAACGGGAUUAGAUACCCCGGUAGUCCUGGCUGUAAACGAUGACCACUAGACGUAGGAGGUAUCGACCCCUUCUGUGUCGCAGCUAACGCACUAAGUGGUCCGCCUGGGGAGUACGGUCGCAAGAUUAAAACUCAAAGGAAUUGACGGGGACCCGCACAAGCAGCGGAGCGUGUGGUUUAAUUCGAUGCAACGCGAAGAACCUUACCAAGGCUUGACAUGGACCUGCACCAGCCGUAACGGGCUGUCUCUUUCGGGAGCGGGUUCACAGGUGCUGCAUGGCUGUCGUCAGCUCGUGUCGUGAGAUGUUGGGUUAAGUCCCGCAACGAGCGCAACCCUCGUCCUUAGUUGCCACCAUUCAGUUGGGCACUCUAAGGAGACUGCCGGCGUUAAGCCGGAGGAAGGUGGGGACGACGUCAAGUCAUCAUGGCCCUUAUGUCCAGGGCCACACACGUGCUACAAUGGGCGGUACAAAGGGUCGCAAACCCGCGAGGGGGAGCCAAUCCCAAAAAGCCGCUCUCAGUUCGGAUUGGAGUCUGCAACUCGACUCCAUGAAGUUGGAAUCGCU
rnacentral:rRNA from 1 species